AGUGAACGCUGGCGGUAGGCCUAACACAUGCAAGUCGAACGGCAGCACAGUAAGAGCUUGCUCUUACGGGUGGCGAGUGGCGGACGGGUGAGGAAUACAUCGGAAUCUACUUUUUCGUGGGGGAUAACGUAGGGAAACUUACGCUAAUACCGCAUACGACCUACGGGUGAAAGCAGGGGAUCUUCGGACCUUGCGCGAUUGAAUGAGCCGAUGUCGGAUUAGCUAGUUGACGGGGUAAAGGCCCACCAAGGCGACGAUCCGUAGCUGGUCUGAGAGGAUGAUCAGGCACAAUGGAACUGAGACACGGUCCAGACUCCUAAGGGAGGCAGCAGUGGGGAAUAUUGGACAAUGGGCGCAAGCCUGAUCCAGCCAUACCGCGUGGGUGAAGAAGGCCUUCGGGUUGUAAAGCCCUUUUGUUGGGAAAGAAAAGCAGCAGGUUAAUACCCCGCUGUUCUGACGGUACCCAAAGAAUAAGCACCGGCUAACUUCGUG
rnacentral:rRNA from 1 species